UGAGUGAAAAAUAAAUGAUGUUUGUAAAUUUUUAUUUUACAAAUAGUACAUGUCUCAUACUUAAAAAUGCUGUUGUCUAUAGGAAAUAUUGCUCAUAAUUUAUUUAGAACGUUAACAUUUAAUUGACUAAGGAGAAUCGUCCUUAAUAUGUUUUAACACUCAACACAUUGCGCUUUCUUUCAAAGUAGAAUGAUUUCUACAUGCUUGUACCUGUAUAAUCAUACCAACAUCACUUACCCCAAUGUCCAUCCAUGAAAAUGAUUUAAUUAAUUAGCACGAAACUUUGGACAUUUUUUUAUUAUACUUUCAUUAAACUCAACGAAGAUUUUAUUUAUUGCAAACAAUUUUGCAAAAGAUGCCUCCAAUUUUAUGGUAGACAUAACAACUCCCAGACAUAUCAUUUUUUAAUUACAAAAAAUGGGUUGGCUUAUUUUUGCUCGAGAUUAAUCGUAAACAGUUUUAUCAAAAUCAGUGAACCAACGAUUGCGACCACUCCUUGUAAAUAACUGUUCCACAAUCCGACGAACAUUUAUGUCAUGCUGCUUAUCCCAAAUAAACAAAGUUUUGCUGUAAAACAUGCAGUUACAGUACAAUUACGAGCAUAAAGAAUUAAUUAUUACGUACCCAGGAAGUGGUCCUCCAUUGUCCAGAUCGAACACUUGAUAUGGAUUUAGAAGUUUACGAAAACUGGAGAUCAACUGGAGUCCCUGGCAACCGCCAGAUUUUACAUUCACGAAGACUAGCAAUGGUUGCACCCCUGACGGGACCAUAGUUGGCUCAAUACUCGGUAGCGGCAUUACUAUAACCAUCAGAAUCAUCGAAUACUGUAUUAAUCACAUUUUUAUGAAAAUGAAGAACGUGAAUACAGUAGAAUUCCAUUUAUCCGACAUGCUUGGGGGACACAACUGGAUAUCUGACUGAUUUAUCUAUUCAUAUAAUUGGACUUAAGUUUCAUAUAACUGGAAUUUGCUACAUAUUGCUUUGAACACAAGAGAAAGCAUUAAUUUUACCAUCAUUUAACAUAGCGUCAAAUAAUUUCUUUGUCAUCGAUGCAAAGCAACACUCUUUAUCACAGAUAUAAUCGCACAGUUAUGAAUAACUGAAUUAAAUCGUUACUUAUCUCACAUCGCUACGCAAGAACACUAGGCUAAAAUUUCACACCGAACCAAAACGAGUAAGUCGUAUAAUAUAAAAAAAAUUAAAAUAAUAUAAUAUAAUAAAUUAAAUAUGAUCUGUUUCACUGGUUAUACAGGGUGAGUUAUUUAACUCAUUCUCCUUAACUUUUCUGGUGAACUACAUGUUGUAUAAAACAAUAUUUCAAACAAAAAUUACUUGGUAUAAAGUGCAGCGUAGACGGUAAUAAUUAAUUUUUUGCCAUUUUCCUUCUUCGUCAAAAUAUGAAGGUCAUUUGACAAAAUAUGAAACACUAACCACAUGUACGUGCUGAUGUAUUAAUUGUAAUGGACAAUAUUUUGAACAUUUCUUGCAUUAAAAAUCAACUAAAAAAUAUCGCGACAAACACUAAUUUACGAACCCUUGCACCUUUAUAAUUUUUAUUCUGUAUUUAAUGUACUUUCAAAUCCACGAUUAAGUGUUAUAGUUAAAAAAAAAACUCAGAAUGACCUUAUAUCUUGAUAGGAAAGGAAAAUAUAAAAAAAUUAAUUGUUGUCAUGUGCACCCCUCUUUGUACCAAGCAACUUCAUUCAAACAUUUUGCUAUACAAUACGUAGUUUACAAGAUGGAAGAGUUGAAUGACUCACCGUGUAUACGGACAGCAGAAUUUUACUCUUAUCUUAAAAAGUUAAUUUUUGUAAAUUAUUUGCAUAAAUCGAAUUUUAUUAUUAUUUGUAGGAUCUAAAAGAUUUACAAGAUACUAUUUCUGCUAAUUACCGUGAUAUUAUUUGUAUACUGCGGAUUUUAUGCAGAAUUAUUAACUGAAUUGUUUUAAUUUUAUACGAUUUUUUAAGGUGGUGGUUUGGUAUUCAAUAUGUUCUUAUAAGGUCGAUGAAUUAUGAGAUAUUACCUAGAAGAUGUUUGUCCUCGUACUUCGAUUCUGCCAAAGUAUACAAUGCCCUGACUGCCUUAUUUGCAUCCUCGUAGAUAAUAACCAUGGAGCCAUAUUCAUAGUAUAUCGUACCAAUUGAGGAGAAUUUGUUUUCUAAACGAAUUACAUGAAAACAAAGUUAUUACUAUAAAUGA